GACGAACGCUGGCGGCGUGCCUAAUACAUGCAAGUCGAACGAACGGAUAAAGAGCUUGCUCUUUUGAAGUUAGUGGCGGACGGGUGAGUAACACGUGGGUAACCUGCCCUCACAGCUGGGGAUAACAUCGAGAAAUCGAUGCUAAUACCGAAUGUGCUGAACAUCAUAAGAUGUUCAAGUGAAAGACGGUUUCGGCUGUCACUGUGAGAUGGACCCGCGCUGGAUUAGCUAGUUGGUAAGGUAAUGGCUUACCAAGGCGACGAUCCAUAGCCGACCUGAGAGGGUGAUCGGCCACAUUGGGACUGAGACACGGCCCAAACUCCUACGGGAGACAGCAGUAGGGAAUCUUACGGCAAUGGACCGAAAGUCUGACCGAGCAACGCCGCGUGAGCGAAGAAGGCCUUCGGGUCGU
rnacentral:rRNA from 1 species